UGGCUCUCGCAUCGAUGAAGAACGCAGCGAAAUGCGAUACGUAAUGUGAAUUGCAGAAUUCAGUGAAUCAUCGAAUCUUUGAACGCACAUUGCACUCUCUGGUAUUCCGGAGAGUAUGCUUGUUUGAGUAUCAGUAAACACCUCAAAUCUCGACAUUCGUGUUGAGAAUUGGACUUGAGCAAUCCCAACUCUUUGCAAGAAGAGGCGGGUUGUUUGAAAUGCAGGUGCAGCUGGACAUUCUUCUGAGCUAAAAGCAUACUUAUUUAGUCCCGUCAAACGGAUUAUUACUUUUGCUCUAGCUAAUAUAAAGGUCGAAUGUACUACAUGCUGACUGAUGCAGGAUUACCAAGUUUUCUAGUAAAACUUGUAAACUCGAUCUCAAAUCAAGUAAGACUACCCGCUGA
rnacentral:misc_RNA from 1 species